GUAAAGAUGGCAGAUUAGUGCAAAAGGUUUAAGCCCUUUAUAUGAAAAAGUUUUCUCUUUACA
rnacentral:tRNA from 1 species